UACGUAGGGGGCAAGCGUUGUCCGGAUUUAUUGGGCGUAAAGAGCUCGUAGGUGGUUCGGUAAGUCGGAUGUGAAAUCUCCAGGCUCAACCUGGAGGGGUCAUUCGAUACUGCCGUGACUAGAGGUCGGUAGGGGAGUGUGGAAUUCCUGGUGGAGCGGUGAAAUGCGUAGAUAUCUGGAGGAACACCGGUGGCGAAGGCGGCAUCCUGGACCAACACUGACACUGAGGAGCGAAAGCCAGGGGAGCAAACGGG
rnacentral:rRNA from 1 species